rnacentral:rRNA from 1 species
GACGAACGCUGGCGGCGUGCCUAAUACAUGCAAGUAGAACGCUGAAGAGAGGAGCUUGCUCUUCCUGGAUGAGUUGCGAACGGGUGAGUAACGCGUAGGUGACCUGCCUUGUAGCGGGGGAUAACUAUUGGAAACGAUAGCUAAUACCGCAUAACAAUGGAUGACACAUGUCAUUUAUUUGAAAGGGGCAAUUGCUCCACUACAAGAUGGACCUGCGUUGUAUUAGCUAGUAGGUGAGGUAAUGGCUCACCUAGGCGACGAUACAUAGCCGACCUGAGAGGGUGAUCGGCCACACUGGGACUGAGACACGGCCCAGACUCCUACGGGAGGCAGCAGUAGGGAAUCUUCGGCAAUGGGGGCAACCCUGACCGAGCAACGCCGCGUGAGUGAAGAAGGUUUUCGGAUCGUAAAGCUCUGUUGUAAGUCAAGAACGGGUGUGAGAGUGGAAAGUUCACACUGUGACGGUAGCUUACCAGAAAGGGACGGCUAACUACGUG